AACGAACGCUGGCGGCAUGCCUAACACAUGCAAGUCGAACGAGACCUUCGGGUCUAGUGGCGCACGGGUGCGUAACGCGUGGGAACCUGCCCUUAGGUUCGGAAUAACUCCCCGAAAGGGGUGCUAAUACCGGAUAAGGUCUUCGGACCAAAGAUUUAUCGCCUUUGGAUGGGGCCGCGUUGGAUUAGCUAGUUGGUAGGGUAAAAGCCUACCAAGGCGACGAUCCAUAGCUGGUCUGAGAGGAUGAUCAGCCACACUGGGACUGAGACACGGCCCAGACUCCUACGGGAGGCAGCAGUGGGGAAUAUUAGACGAUGGGCGAAAGCCUGAUCCAGCAAUGCCGCGUGAGUGAUGAAGGCCUUAGGGUUGUAAAGCUCUUUUACCCGAGAUGAUAAUGACAGUACCGGGAGAAUAAGCACCGGCUAACUCCGUG
rnacentral:rRNA from 1 species